GGCACUGUUUUUCUCCAUUUCUAUAGGUUGUUAAAGUAUAUGUAUCUGUCUUCGGUGAUGAAAGAGGUAGGGAGGUAGCCAUAUCUGGGUUGAAGUCAAAGUCAAAAUAUGUUCGCAGCGAGUUGGGGAAGCGUAUGAAGUUGCGGUUGACUCCUGAAAUACGAUUCAUAGAAGACGACUCCAUAGAGCGAGGAAACAGGGUGAUUGCAAUAUUGGAUAGGAUAAAAAAUGAGAAAAAGAUUCCAGGAAGUCCAGGUGAUGACCAAAUUGAGUCAUCUGAACUACCCCAGGAAGACAGGGAUUGGGACGGUGAUGACCCUGAUGAUGAAGGCAUUAUUUAUGUGAAGUAGUUGCUCCCCCUAUUUGCUCGGCAUUGGUUGCUUCCUAUUUUGGCAAAAGGUUUUGCUUCUUCACAGGGCACAGGCCUCAAUCUUGGACAUGGAUUGAGGUACGUUAUCCAACUUGCCACUGUCAUCUGACUCAUUAACGUUUUAAUCGUGUUUGGAAACUACCAAAAAUUGUUUUGUUUCUCUUAUCCUCCAUUGUAAUUUUCAUGUUCUUUCAAAAAACUGGUGUGGAGCAGAGAAUGAAAUGUUGACAUUUCUGAGAAAGUGAAUGGAAUCUAUGCAAAUAAACUUUGUUCCCGAAAAUUUUCUUGUACUAAAUUGUAUAUCAAAUCUUGAACAAUCUAUAUGUGAAACAUGAUCGCACCAGCUCUUCAACUUAGCAA